rnacentral:rRNA from 1 species
UACGUAGGGGCCGAGCGUUGUCCGGAGUUAUUGGGCGUAAAGCGCGCGCAGGCGGCCUCGCGCGCCCGACGUGAAAGCCCCCGGCUUAACCGGGGAGGGUCGUUGGGGACGGCGGGGCUUGAGGGCGGGAGAGGGUGGUGGAAUUCCCGGUGUAGUGGUGAAAUGCGUAGAGAUCGGGAGGAACACCCGUGGCGAAGGCGGCCGACCUGGGCCGACCCUGACGCUGAGGCGCGAAGGCGUGGGGAGCGAACGGG